AUUCUGCUUCAGUUCCACCAGUGUCCAAUUGAUGUCUUCCAGUUGCACGGUCAAUCAUGGAUAGUGCUACUUUGACAAGAUUAGAGUCAGGAAAUCUGAGCGACAUCAAAUCUAUUCUUCAUUUUUUUUUACAACGGCAUGCUCAAACUUUUUCCUUUUCCGAAUUGAAUCAAGAUGACAGACGAAAGAAGUUAUGGAGCAUUCUCUUUAAACACCUGAAUAAUCCAUCUCUUAGUGACUGCCAUGAAGAUUGUCUUGCAUGUUUGCGGAUUCUCAGCCGCGACAAAUGUAACCUGGAUUCCUUGAUGAAUAAUCAAUGGAUAGAAAUACUUUUACUGAAAGCAGAUCUUAGAACCAGUGAAAACCAUAUGGAAGCAGCAGCAUAUAAUGAUUUUGCAGUUGUCAUAGAGUCUCUGAAAGUCUUGUCAAAUCUUCUCUUCCAAAGUCCUCAAGCUCAAGCAAUUUGUUGUAAAAAUGGAACUGCAGAUGGCAUCAUUCAACGCUUGCGUCUCUACUCGAUCACCAGUUACCGCACAUGGUCAAAUUUUUUGACAUGAAAGUUCUGUUUUUACUCACUGCGCUCUCUCCAGAUAUCAGGCCAAGAGUAAGGGACAAUCUUCAUGGUCUGAUAUACCUAAUGGAAAUUCUAGAUUUAAUUUUGAAGCAAGGAACUACUGGUGGUCCAAUGGGUAUAGUUCUUCACGUGAGUGUAGUUAAGUAUUUUAGCAUUUUUCUGAAAGCAUCUUUUUGGUGAUUGAAGAGACCUAUUGUUACCUUGCUGCCGAAACAAUAGUCUCACAUUUGUAAGAAUUUUCAAAUUUGUAAGAAGGCUAAGAUAUUCUGUUUUCAGCCCCACUUUUUUCGAGAUACAUACAUAAAGCCGCUUUUAUAGCGCAGCCUCGCGCUCUGCGACACCCAAUCGCCAUUGCCCCCUAUCCUCCCAGAGAUCAUCAGGCAAUUGGCACCUUCUGAUAUCCUCCUCCACCCCUUGUCGCCAACCUAUCACAGGACGUCCACGCCGUCGCCUUCUGAGAGGAACCCAAUCAAAGACCUGCUUGGGCAACCGAUCGUCUGCCAUCCUUCGCACAUGUCCAUACCAGACCAACUGCUUGGACCUGAUAUUGUGCACGAUGUCCUUCUCCACACCCAUUAUCUCGCGAACUCUUACAUUGCGGAUACGCUCUCUUCUUGAGAUGCCAGAUUAGAAUGUAAAAAGUUUCACUUAAAAUGCUUUUCAAGCUCAGGAGGUUGCAAGGAAUAUCAUAUUAAGUAUUAUUGAAAUUUAGCCAGUGCAACGCCGUAUUCCUUGGUAUUGUGUGCAAAGUCAAAAUUCUUGCACUGUGCUGCUUGGCAAAGGGAAGAUUUGGCUUUUCGGGAUCAACAAUGACUUUCAUGAUAAUUUUAUUUUAUUAUUAUUGCUAAGCAACUCUGUUUUCUAACACUCAUCUCUCUCUGAUAACUCUAAAUUAUGCUAUUUUCAGGAGGAGCAAGUUUUAUUGUCCUGCGAAGUUUUGAAAGUGUUAUUUAAUCUAACUGUUCGAGGGAACCUACGGCCAGAGGAUGAGGAUGACUCUCUCAGUUUACGUCUUGUGGAAAUCUUAGAGAGUAUCUCCUUUGCACCACCUUACCUUUGUCACUCCUAGAUAGUUUUACAGGUAAACGUACAUGCCUUUAUUUGUUGCAUGGAAAUUCAUUGUUUAUUGUACCUGAAAACUUUCUCAAUGCUUACAAUACUGGAUAACGCAGCGAGAACAAAUUUUGGGUUUCAUUAUAUCUUUAAAAGUGACC
rnacentral:lncRNA from 1 species